GACCAGGAGCAACACAACUUGUCCUCAACGAUGGAAUGUAUGAAACAAUUCAUCUGCAGCAAACAUUUAAUUACGGUGGUAACACGUACUCUCAACUCAAUCUGAGUAUGGACAGUUAUGUGGCUUUCUUCAUUCCAAAUAUCGAUGAUGAAGUGCCCAACCGAAAUCUGGGCAAAGAUAUCAUUGCACCACUGUGGACUGAUUUGGACUCUGACAGUGGAGGAAGAUGGACCUACGAGCAGGCCACAAGUGGACCUUUAAUAGAUCGAACUAACCAAGAAAUUAACAGGAUGUUCCCCAAUGUUUACUUUUCUGCUUCCUGGGUCUUUGUUUCCACUUGGAAAAAUGUCCCACUUGAAUUCUCUGCUUUCAUGGGUGCAACACUUCAAGUCGUCUUGGCCUCGGAUGGUGGGGGCCUCUCUUUCAUCCUGAUGAACUAUGGGACUAUUCCUUCUAUCC